AGUGAACGCUGGCGGUAGGCCUAACACAUGCAAGUCGAACGGCAGCACAGUAAGAGCUUGCUCUUACGGGUGGCGAGUGGCGGACGGGUGAGGAAUACAUCGGAAUCUACUUUUUCGUGGGGGAUAACGUAGGGAAACUUACGCUAAUACCGCAUACGACCUACGGGUGAAAGCAGGGGAUCUUCGGACCUUGCGCGAUUGAAUGAGCCGAUGUCGGAUUAGCCAGUUGGCGGGGUAAAGGCCCACCAAGGCGACGAUCCGUAGCUGGUCUGAGAGGAUGAUCAACCGCACUGGAACUGAGACACGGUCCAGACUCCUACGGGAGGCAGCAGUGGGGAAUAUUAGACAAUGGGCGCAAGCCUGAUCCAGCCAUACCGCGUGGGUGAAGAAGGCCUUCGGGUUGUAAAGCCCUUUUGUUGGGAAAGAAAAGCAGCAGGUUAAGACCCCGCUGUUCUGACGGUACCCAAAGAAUAAGCACCGGCUAACUUCGUG
rnacentral:rRNA from 1 species